rnacentral:lncRNA from 1 species
CCUUUUGGAAUGGGGACAGCAGAGGGGCCAAUGGAUAACAAAACACCAGCCUUCCUGCAUCUGAUUCUCUGUGCCUGUGAAAAUGAUGGGAAGGCACCAACAUAUCAGUGGUGAGCAGGAGCUGAAGAGCCUUCCCGGGACUGGCUGACCACCAAAGAACACUGCCAAUCCCUUUACUUAUCAGGCUACUUUUCCUUCCACUCACUCUGGGGUGCUGACUUUUGUAUCCACAUCACCCAAACACCUGGCAGAGACAGUAAAAGAUGGAAAAGAUCUCCUUUGGCUCACAGCUUCAGACAUCUUAGCAUGGACUCAUCGUGGCAGAGAAGCCACGGUGAAGUUCCUGAUGACAAGAGCAUGUGGCAGAGGCUCCCAAACAUCACCAUGAACAAGGAAGCAGGAACAGUUAACAGAAUGGGGACAUUGGGCCUUGUCCUCAGAAGACUUAAUGACUUGUCUCUACUAGCCAGCCCUCAGCACCCAAAGAUUCCAAAGCCUCUCAAAAUAGCAUGACCAGCUCAAGAACAAACCUCAAAGCAUCAUCAUGUGGAGGGGAUUUCAGAUACAAACCAACACACCCCAACCACACGGCUCUCCACACUCUAACCUCUUCCUACUUUC